ensembl:lncRNA
CAAAACCACUUCCCUUCUCUUUUUCCCUCUGCUCUGCUGCAGACCCUCAGCAUCGGGGGAGCCGGGGGGACUGGGACGAGCAUGGACUAGAUGGUGUUCUCCUCGUCCGUGCUGCUCACCUGCCCUCUCGGAACGCCCCAGACCGCUCUGCCCUGUUCAUGGGAAUCUGGGAGAGGCUGGGUUUGUCUAAGCUGGAGUCACCCGGAGCAGCGCUCGUCAUUAGCGGUCAGCAAGGUCCCCCAAAGCCACCAAAGCCCCAGCAGAGGAGAGGACACGUGGUCAUCCAGCCUGGAGACAGCGAGGGAGGAGCCCAGCAGGCAGGGCUCCCUGCUGGAAGUGGCUCACCUUCGCUGGGACAAGCAGUGCCACCAAAGUAGGGCUGCGAGGCUCCCGGGGCCGCGGGGCACAGCGGCUCCCUCGGCACGGAACAGGGCGUCUCAUCUAAUUAUAUCAGCUGUGUCCCACAAAGAGCAGCUGGCAGCUGGGCUGCCCUAUUUCCUGAGCCCUCCUUUGGGCCCGGCAGCGCCGCGCUGGCACCGGCCCGGCCCCGGCCUGGCACUGGGAUGGCCCCGCAGCCUCCGGCCGCAGCGGCUGCAGGAGGGCCAGCAGCCACAUCUCCGCACCCAGGAUGGCCCAGCACAGCCCGGAUGGAAGCUUCCUUCUGGGCAGGAGAUGCUUGCACGGGUCUGGGGCAGUUCUGAUGGGCUGGUGGUCUCCAUCCCCCCUCCAGACCGUGGCCUGGCUCAUACUGGGUUCCUGACGGGCUGUGAGUGAUCCCACCCUGCCACAAGGUCCAAACACCAGAGCGGCGUGCUGGGGACAGGAGCCAGCCCAGCAGUGCCCUCCCACAGGACUCUGGAGUUUGUGGCCAGGGCAGGUGUGUCCCCACUGCCCCACCUCCCACCGGCGCCCGUGCUGGAGCUGUGGAGGGCUCUGCAGCACAGAGAGUCCCCCAGCUCCAAAUGGGUGCCAUGGGCACCCAAACCUGACAGUGUCCUCACACCUCCUCCUGCCCCACUCCCUGCCCAGCUCCCACUUUCCAGCUCAGCUCAGCCCAGCCCCUGCCCCAGGAGAUCCCAUCCCCCUCAGGGCUGUGGUAGGAUCUCAGAAUCCCAGAAUGGUUUGGGUUGGAAGGGAUAUUAAAGCCCAUCCCAUUCCACCCCUGCCAUGGGCAGGGACACCUUCCACUGUCCCAGGUUCCUCCAAGCCCCAUCCAGCCCGGCCUUGGAUGCUUCCAGGGAUGGGGCAUGGAUAGCAGCCCUGUGCCAAGAUCCUCUGGAGGUGGCUGGAGCCAUCAGAAGGUAAAUGCCACCUCAGGCAGCACCAGGGCUCUGCCAGGAGCAAAUUCCUCCUGCUCGUGAUGGAACAACUGGAAUGAGCACAUUAUACCGGGGUUAUUCUCUGGCUUGGACAGUGCCAGGCAAGGGACUGGGCCGGAGCCAAGGACACUCAGAGCUGGUGGUGGAGGGGGUGACAAGGGGUCAGUGGGUCCCAUCCAAAGUCCUCUGUGCUCACCUCCCAGAAACUUCCCUCUGGAGGUCCUGGCACAAGCCUCUCUCUCCUCAUCUGGGAUCUCUGGAUGCUCCAGAUAAUCAGCAGCCUGUCCAAAGGGUGCCAGAGACCUGGCCCCUCUGUGCAUGCUUGGAGAUGCCCCUUGGACCUCCCUGGGAGCCGGUCCUGUGGGACCCCCUCCCUCCUUGCACCCAGCUCAGCCCUGGAGCCGCUGCCACUGGGGUGCCGGUGGCAGGCGCAGUCCCGCUCCAGAGGGCUGGCAGGAGAGGGCUCCCCCAGCCCCAUCCCAGGGAAACCCAGGGGCUGGGGAGUGGCUGGGGGCUGCCUGGCCCCUGCCACCCAGGGGGAUGAUGGUUUAAUCCCCGGCUUAUUUCGGUUGCUAGGUGAUCAAAUCAUCCAUCUGCUUGUGACGGGAGAGCGCAGGGAGAGCGCCGUGAGUCAGCCCCUGCCACAGGCAGCAGAGGGGUGCACUCCAGCCCACCCCCAGCCUGGCCCAGGGCCCUGUGUGCCCACAGGGUGCUCUGGCAGCAGAGCCUGCCAUGGACAGGGGAAACAGGUCCUGCCUGGGGAAGUCAGGCUGCCAUGGGGCUGGGGGCAUCUUCCCACGUGCUCCUGGAGGACAGGACCCCCACAGCAUCGUGGAGAGCACCUCUGAGCUGUGUCCUCACUGCACCACCUUGCACGAGGGGUUUGCCCUAUUGCACUGGAUUUUUGGAAAAAAUUCUUCCCUAUGAGGGUGGGGAGGCCCUGGCACAGGGUGCCCAGAGCAGCUGUGGCUGUCCCUGGAUCCCUGGAAGUGUCUAAGGGCAGGUUGGAGGGGCCUUGGAGCAACCUGGGACAGUGGAAGGUGUCCCUGCCCAUGGCGGGGUGGCACUGGAUGGUCUGUAAUGCCCUUUCAACACUUUCAGUCCCACUCUGGGAUUCAGUGAUUCAAUCCAGAGCAACUCUGAAGGAUCAGAUGAGCCCCACUUGAAGUAUGGGCAGGUUUGGUGUCCCCCCCCAGCACAGUGCAGCCCCCCCAGCACCUUCCCCCUUCUGCAGGGACAUCCCUACCCCAGCACACUGGGAGCUCAGGGAAAGCCAACAGGCUGCUCAGGAGAGCAAGGCAGAAAGGCAACAGUUUGGGAGAAAAUAACAUUUUCAUAAAGUGUUUGAAGUCAUUUGGAGGAGGAAAGUGGGAAGGGAGAGGAAUCAGUCUCUGUGUGUGUGAUGCGUGCGUAUGUGAGAGAGCGACAACAGGAGCCUCCCUCUCCGCAGAGCAGAAACCAUCUCAGUUUCUCAGGUUUGGGAGAGUGUUGAGACACUGGGAAAUUAAAG